rnacentral:lncRNA from 1 species
GUUUCUAAAGAUUUACUUAUUUAUACUGCACUGCUUUAUAAAUUAUCAGAAAUUCAUUUUAUGUGUACCUUUAUUCUUGGAACACAGGUUACCAUUGCAAAAGAAAACUAGAAGAACCUCUAACAAUUUACAAAAUAAAAAACAUAGCUACCAUAUUCUACUUCCCUUCUCUCUCUAUUUCUCUCUCUCUCUCUCUCUCUCUCUCACACACACACACACACACACCAAAAUAAAUCACUGGCUUCCUUUAGAUAUGGAAAAAUGUGCUUUACCAUAGUUUGAUUCAAGGAAAACUUCAAAUUUUCUUUUAAGUUUUCAUUUUUUUCUAAUCAGUUUUUUUAAACAAUCUUAUUGUAUUUUAAACUUACUUUCCUAAGACUAUGUAUUUAAAGAGGUAGAAGUCUUUAUGUAAAUUUUUAACUUGAGGGUAAAACAUCUAUCUUUUUAAUCUCAUAUAUUAAUUUUAAUUCUUUCAUUUUAUUGCACAUUGUCAAAAUCUU